AUACACUAGAAGACUCUGACAAGACUAAGUUUUAUGACCACCUUAAACCAAACGAUGGAGACGACGGCAGCGCCCCGACUCUAGCAAGACUCCAGUCUGCAACGGUGGAGUCUCUUGAAAGUUCGGCAUAAAAGAUGAUAUCGUAAAGUGGACUAGCUACAUGUGCAUGCUAGGGUCUGACCAUAGACAGUAUAUAAGGUCUCACUGACAUGCCAUUAUGCUAAGAUGCUAAGAUGCUAACAGUGGGUCCUGCAGCGGCGGGGGAUUUGCUGAGAAACUUUUCUGCUGUUUGUGACAAUGAUGUGACCCAGUUGUGACCGCAGAGCUUUAUUCAGCUCAACAUGUUAGAACCGGUUCAGGUAUGGCCAUAUUCAGGAGCCCAGAGGGACCAGGGAGACCCGGGACUGGUUCUAUGUUGAACUGAACGAGCUGUGAAGUUGAACCGAGUUGAUUAAGGACUUCAAGGCGACAGGUCACGGCAGUUUCCUGCGGCCACGCUAUGACGACCAGCCACGCUCGCCUCACGCAUGAGGCGGUUCUAAAUCUGCAAUGGAAAAAGGAGGACGGGCCACCGCGGUCGAGUCGUGUCGAGUCGAGCCGAGCCGAGCAGGACUUUAUUGUACAGGACAGAUGCAGAUGUUAAAGGGGGGAGAGAGAGAGAGAAUGACAUGCAGCAAAGGGCCGCAGGUCGGGAUCGAACCCACAGCCGCUGCAUCAAGGACUGAGCCUUAGUACAUGGGGCGCACGCUCAGCCAGCUCCACUUUCUAUAAUGUGCCUGGAAAGAAUGAAACGUCCUGCAGUCGGUGAAGAGGCGCCUGCAGGUAACAGACUGCUCACCACAGGAGGAUUUUAAAGGGUGUGUAAAAGGGAGAUUUUCAGCCGGAGAAGGAUCCCACGGCAGCACCUGGCCCACAGUGAACUCCCAGCAGCGUAAAUCCAACUAUCUUCAGCCACACAGCCCGUGGCAGCUGUUGCACCAGGCACAUUUCCAAAAAGGAGAGACAGGCGGAGAAAAAUGCGAGAGAAAGAGCGAACAAAGAGUCUUGUCCUGCCAACACAUCUCAGCUUCAACAUUCCCAAACACAUCUGACCGUCAGUAAUUCCACUGCUGUUUUCCGGAGCUGAAUGGUUUCUCGACUCGGUGUAAAAGUUGGCGCCCGGUGUAUGUGUGUGUGUGUGUGUGUGUGUGUGUGUCAUAGUGAGAGGCCACAGCAAGGCCGGGGUAAGAGGAGUGACACAAGGCUGCACUGUUUAGACCCCCGGGCCUCCGCUGUUUUAUGUGCCAAGACUCGACCUUUGUGUGCCGACCACACCGAUCUGUUACUGCAGCUUCUGUUCAGUCCGGAGCUCACUCACUCACACAAUCACUGCAUGGUUUUAUAUAAAAUAAAGCCAUCUCACUGCCCAUCCCUUGCGUUCCAUUUUGGACAAAAAAAGGAGGUUUAAUUUCUCAACUAUAUUUACUCGUCCGUUCUACUUCCUAUGAAGGUCUCCCAAUUGUACGUGUAUGAUACGACUAAGGAACUGAGGCUGCAUCUACACUAAUUCUUUUCAUUUUUUAAGCGGCGUUUUGAGACAAAAACAACCUCCGUCCACACAAGAGUUUUAGCUCCAGCAGCAGAACUAAUCUCCGUGCGUAUUAACACGCCUAACAACAUGUAUCACAUGACCAUUCACACACACUGGGCAUGUGCGUGCCGGUGUAAACCCGAAAGCAGAUCGUCUGAUGUUACUCUGCGGUUGUAAAUCAUGGAUGUGGAAGUUGAAAAUACAGAAAAUACUUUGGAGAAAGAACAACGGUAAUAAGUAAGAGCAGGGAUGUAUUAUCUUAGAGCGAAGACGAGGUGGAACUGUUACUGAAAGGUCUGUAAGCUACCUAACUGAUAAGGUCUCCGUUUGUGCCCGUCAAGACUAGAACACGAUCGAUAAAGGAUUUUUAAG